AGAGUUUGAUCAUGGCUCAGGACGAACGCUGGCGGCGUGCUUAACACAUGCAAGUCGAACGGAAAGGCCCCUUCGGGGGUACUCGAGUGGCGAACGGGUGAGUAACACGUGGGUGAUCUGCCCUGCACUUUGGGAUUAGCCUGGGAAACUGGGUCUAAUACCGAAUAGGACCGCAUGCUUCAUGGUGUGUGGUGGAAAGCUUUUGCGGUGUGGGAUGGGCCCGCGGCCUAUCAGCUUGUUGGUGGGGUAAUGGCCUACCAAGGCGACGACGGGUAGCCGGCCUGAGAGGGUGUCCGGCCACACUGGGACUGAGAUACGGCCCAGACUCCUACGGGAGGCAGCAGUGGGGAAUAUUGCACAAUGGGCGCAAGCCUGAUGCAGCGACGCCGCGUGGGGGAUGACGGCCUUCGGGUUGUAAACCUCUUUCAGUAUCGGCGAAGCUCCAGGAUUUUUCUUGGGGUGACGGUAGGUACAGAAGAAGCACCGGCCAACUACGUGCCAGCAGCCGCGGUAAUACGUAGGGUGCGAGCGUUGUCCGGAAUUACUGGGCGUAAAGAGCUCGUAGGUGGUUUGUCACGUUGUCUGUGAAAACUCACAGCUUAACUGUGGGCGUGCGGGCGAUACGGGCAGACUGGAGUACUGUAGGGGAGACUGGAAUUCCUGGUGUAGCGGUGGAAUGCGCAGAUAUCAGGAGGAACACCGGUGGCGAAGGCGGGUCUCCGGGCAGUAACUGACGCUGAGGAGCGAAAGCGUGGGGAGCGAACAGGAUUAGAUACCCUGGUAGUCCAA
rnacentral:rRNA from 1 species